rnacentral:rRNA from 1 species
CACUAAUUAUGGACUAGUAUGAAAGGCAAAAUGAGGGUUUAACUGUCUCUUAUAGUAAGUCAAUUAAACUGAUCUGCCAGUAAAAAAGCUGGUAUAAAUACACAAGACCAGAAGACCCUGUGAAACUUAAACUAAACUAUUAAACUACAUAAUAACUACUUUCGGUUGGGGCGACCUUGGAAAAAAAAGAACUUCCAAAUUAAUGAUAAUCUAUCACUCUCAGGCCAACAAGCCACAUAUGACCCAGCACACCUGAUAAUUGAACCAAGUUACUCCAGGGAUAACAGCGCCAUCUUCUUCAAGAGUCCAUAUCAAAAAGAAGGUUUACGACCUCGAUGUUGGAUCAGGACACCCCAAUGGUGUA